rnacentral:rRNA from 1 species
UACAGAGGGUGCGAGCGUUGUUCGGAAUUACUGGGCGUAAAGCGCGCGCAGGCGGCCUUUUAAGUCUGACGGUGAAAUGCCGGGGCUCAACCCCGUUGCAUGCCGCGGAUACUGGGAGGCUGGAGACAAGUAGAGGCAAGCGGAAUUCCGGGUGUAGCGGUGGAAUGCGCAGAGAUCCGGAAGAACACCGGAGGCGAAGGCGGCUUGCUGGGCUUGGUCUGACGCUGAGGCGCGAAAGCGUGGGGAGCGAACAGG